UACGGAGGGUGCUAGCGUUGUUCGGAAUUACUGGGCGUAAAGGGCGCGUAGGCGGCCGUUUGCGUCGGAUGUGAAAGCCCGGGGCUCAACCUCGGAACGGCAUUCGAUACGGGACGGCUGGAGACCGGGAGAGGAAAGUGGAAUAGCCAGUGUAGAGGUGAAAUUCGUAGAUAUUGGCUGGAACACCGGUGGCGAAAGCGGCUCUCUGGCCCGGUUCUGACGCUGAGGCGCGAAAGCGUGGGGAGCAAACAGG
rnacentral:rRNA from 1 species